CUAAUUUCGAAAUUUCGGAGGCAGUAGGCUUGAGCUUCCACCCGGUUUCAACUUUCACACGCCCCCCUUCAUCCUUCAUCUUCACGAGUCGAAGCCCUCUACUCAGACCAGCUGACCAGACGAAGACGAACCCGCGAGCCGCGACCCUCGAGCCCUCGACUGCGACCUCGACUCGACCCUGCGACCCUCGAGCCCGCGACCCUAGAGCCCUCGAUCCUCGAAGCCGAAUUUGGCUUCCUCAAGAUCGGUGCUGUGGCAGCCACCAGAGUAGCGGCUGAGGAUGCAUACCACACCUUUAAAAGAGUUGAAGAAGAUGUGCAAAGAAGGUGCCGCAAAGAAGGUGCCUACUGGGAACUGUUGCUAGAGUGUAUGCCAGGAUGGAGUAUGGGGUUGAGAGGAUCCGGGGUACCAGAGACUGGAAGAAUGCUAUGAUAGGGGGAGUUGUGACAGGGCUGGCGAUAUCCCUCGCCAGCAACAAUCAUAAAGACAAGAUUGUAAUGGACGCUAUUACUGGAAGCGCCAUUGCAACAGCUACCGAGUUCAUCAACUAUCUUACAAGUCAGAAAUUGAGAACUGGGACUUGUCUUUGAUGGAUUGGAUGAAUGUUUGAAAUUUUGUUGAUUGAGAACUGAGACUUGUCUUUGAUGGAGGAGAUUUGUGUUUGGCUUUCAGUAUAAUUUGGAUUAGUAUAAUUGAGAAGUGAGACUUGUCUUUGAUGGAUGAGACUUGUGUUUGGCUUUCAGUAUAAUUUGGAUGGUGUUUGAAAUUUUA